GCGCCAGUAGCUCAGUUGGACAGAGCGGCGGCCUUCUAAGCCGCGGGUCGGGGGUUCGAAUCCUCCCUGGCGCGCCA
rnacentral:tRNA from 2 species